UUACGCUAAUGAGUGUUCUGUCUUUCUUUUCUUUCAGAUUUUGUAUUUCGUAACAAUUUCUGCCUGCCCUCUUCACAAUCGCAUAUGGCCCAUUCUGUUUGACAUAAAGUUUAGCGGAAGCAAGUUUAUCUGCUGAUGAUUGACGAUGAUUCGUAAUCAUCACCAGUUCACCAGAUGGAUUAAUGCCUGGUGGUAUGACAUUAGGUCUAUUCGAGCCGUGUCAACUUCUUCCGUAUAUACAGCCUUUCUUGCAAGUUGAUCCGCAGUGAAGUUUCCGUAAUCAGUUUUUCGAGCGUAGGUUUUCCGGAAUUAUUUUUCCAUUUGUUUUCUACCCAUCGAUCACAUUCAGAGUUGAUUGCUAACGUGACAUAUUGAGAAUCCGUGAAAAUCAUUAGUUUCGUAACUCCAUGGAAAUGUUCUUCGAUCCUUCCGGAUGCCAACAGAUUCCGAUACCAGCAAUUGCAUCUUCGUCACCGUUGUUUGCACAAGCUCCAUCUACCCAAACCCAUACGUGACCAUCGGAUGCUGUAUAGACGUCGUUUAACAUAUCUAAUUUCGUAGAUCUAAGUUCUUCUAUCGUGAUAGAUGGUACUUGUUUGUUUCUAGCAGUUUUACGUAAUUCCUUUAGCUCAUAGUGAGCAUUAAUCGGGACUCGGUCGAUAGGUAGGUUCAAAACAAAAUCAUUAAUUUCCCAAAGGUCAUUAGGUAGAAUGCCGACUUCGUUAGGGCAAUUGUUGAUUUCGUCUUCGACUUCUUUAGUGUAGUGAUGCCAUCCUUCAUGGGAAUAUGCUCCUCUACAGUCAAAAUUGAUUUUUAGUCGUAAGCGUUCUCCGAUCAUUCUCAUUGAUCGUUCAACUGGGUUGGACUGUGGGAUAUAGGGUGUUGAAUUUCCUACGGUGAUUUUUUGUUUUGUAAGGGUUU